rnacentral:piRNA from 1 species
UAGGCCAGAGAGAAGCGCUGACCCUG